UCCAGACUCCUACGGGAGGCAGCAGUGGGGAAUAUUGGACAAUGGGGGGAACCCUGAUCCAGCGACGCCGCGUGAGUGAAGAAGUAUUUCGGUAUGUAAAGCUCUAUCAGCAGGGAAGAAAGAAAUGACGGUACCUGACUAAGAAGCCCCGGCUAACUACGUGCCAGCAGCCGCGGUAAUACGUAGGGGGCAAGCGUUAUCCGGAUUUACUGGGUGUAAAGGGAGCGUAGACGGCGAUGCAAGUCUGAAGUGGAAGGCGGGGGCCCAACCCCCGGACUGCUUUGGAAACUGUAUGGCUGGAGUGCAGGAGAGGUAAGUGGAAUUCCUAGUGUAGCGGUGAAAUGCGUAGAUAUUAGGAGGAACACCAGUGGCGAAGGCGGCUUACUGGACUGUAACUGCCGUUGAGGCUCGAAAGCGUGGGGAGCAAACAGGAUUAGAUACCCGAGUAAA
rnacentral:rRNA from 1 species